CUCAUCAGGGAUGGGAAUCGAACCCACAGUGUUCCGCUUACUGGGCAGAUGCCAUGUCCACUAGGCUACCCUGGA